rnacentral:rRNA from 1 species
UAUCUAAACGGAGAGAUUCAAUACUGAACUUAACACUCAGUGUGCACUUCUCUCUUAGUAAGACGUCGUGAUCCAUUAGAAAUUGGUAGACGCCAGUCUAUAUGAGGUCAUCAAUGAGCUUACAUGAAGUUUAUCGGAACAAAUGGCGAGAUCUUUCAACGGUCACGUGUAUUGUCUGGUAAGCAUGUGAGUACUCGUAAUGACUGUCUGAUGGAUUUUAAAGAUUAUAUCAUUGAUGNUNNCAUCACUCGCUUCGNNNNNNNCUCGAUAUAUAUCCGAUCAACGGCGGUUAAAUUUGGGAUACCUUUUGGACCCGUCUUGAAACACGGACCAAGGAGUCUAUCUAAUGUGCGAGUAAAUGGGUAACUUAUGAAACCUAUUUGCGUAAUAAACGUAACUAUUUUAUGGGAUUACGAGGCUGACUCUAACAGGUCACCUCUUCCAUCCCGGAGUAUUUUCAUCCACAUAUACGCAAGUAUAUGGAAAAUAUAUCAUGAGCAUAUUGGAUACGACCCGAAAGAUGGUGAACUAUGCUUGAUCAGGUCGAAGUCAGGGGAAACCCUGAUGGAGGANCGAAGCAGUUCUGACGUGCAAAUCGAUUGUCAGAAUUGAGCAUAGGGGCGAAAGACCAAUCGAACCAUCUAG